CCAUAUUUACAUAUAUCUAGAUUUUGCUUUAAAUAAGCUGUGUUCGAAGAAUCUUCAUUUUUUUUUUUAAAUUUAAAUUCUAUUUUCCAUACCAUUUUUCUUAGUUUAUAUUAAUUAAUUAUAAGACAAGAAAUGAGAAUAGUAUUUCUCAAAAUAUCAAUUCUACAUAAUAUUUAUUGACAAAUAUUUUCAAAGUGCUACUAGCAUUCCUUUAUUUAUAUGUGCAUAUUCUGAUUUUGUGUGUGCUUUAUGCAUAGAUUGCUUUAUAAUAAUGAUAAAUGUAUUUCAAGAAAAAAUUGUACAUAUUUUGUCCUCCAUGUGCACCCAAUUCUGGGUAAUGAAUGAAGAGACUUUGAACAGGUUCCUGUAUGUAGAAUACACCUUUCUAACUUAUCUACUGCAAAGAAAAAACAAAAAAAAACUUGCCAUAAAAAGUUCUCCAUUCCAUUGAGUAGCCAAUCUUGCAACUAUUAAGUUUUAGUUAUCAUGUCUUGAAUGAACAUUGUCUUCAUAAACAUACCCUAAUAUAUUACCUAUGAAUAUCCUUAGCUUAAAAUGUUUUUUGAAUUUCUGAGAAACGAGUACGAUAUUGAUAUUACUUGUUAAAAGAUGUAAACAAGUUCCUUGGACAUGUUAUUUGGAAGCUUUUUUAUAAUACAAGAUGAGCUUACAUGUGUUUGUACAUCUAUGUAUUUGUUUCAUUCAUUCAGUUUAGUGAUAAACUUGACAUGAGUUUGUUUUCUAGGUACCGGUAGACAAUAAUGAUGAUUAAAUCUGAAUGAAGAUUGUGUUAAGGCUUUACUCCUCUAGAAUUAUUUUACUGUUAUUUUGCGACAGUUUGAGGUCCUGUUAUCUUAGUUUUAUUGACGUUGGUUUACAAUAAUGGAUCCAGAGAUUAUUUUAUAACAGAAAAUAAUUGUCUGGUCAGAACUCAUAAAAGGUGCUCUACUUCAUUGUAAAUGUAGGUAGCAAGCAGUUUCAUUUUGGCUCAAUGUUUUUUUUUUCUUUCAUUUUUUGUGUUAAAAAAGGAAUGAGAAAAUACAUUGUAUAAUCUUAUUAUGGUUUUACACAAAAGUACUGUUAAAUGAUGUUAUGUAGCAGUCAGUUAGAAAAUUUAAUAUAUAGAGAUAUAAAUCUCAUUGCUAUAAGUGCUAAGAUUUAAGCUACUAAGUGCUGUAUAAUAUUUCUUUGUAUGGUCUCUUGUAUGUGAAUGUAAAAGAGAGGAAUGAGUGGUUUGUUGUUUUUUGAUGAACAAAUACUUGUAUCUUUUGUAUUGUUGAUACUUUUGUGAGAAUGUUAUGAUUGCUAGAGUUACGAUGAAAGAGAAGCUGUAAGAAAAGUGUUCUAUUAAAGACUUGAUAUUUCAGUCUAAACAAUACUUCUGUUGUUUUUCUUCUUCUUUUUUUCAAUGCGCAGCUUAUUUGGUGAAAUGGAGGUCAUUUGAAGUGUAUUAAAUGUAAGACAAAAGGACGUUUAUCAAACGAGAAAGUAUUUUUAAAAUGACACCUACCACUAAAAAAAAUGUCAGUAAACCCAAUGUUCAUGUACAUAUAUUUGGAUGGGGAGUACGCAUUCAAAAACAAUGGUCAUAAAAUGUUUUAAAAAAUUGUGUCUGCAUAAUUUUGAAUCAAGCCGACAGCAUUGAGUCUUACCUUUGUAUGGCAUCGUCAAUAAUUUUUUUUAAAUAUUUAAAAAUUGCAAUGUGCACUGCUUAGCUUACCGCAGUGAAAUUUGCUGAACUAACUUUUAACAUUUUCUAUCCGUUGUGUGAUAGUCCUUAAACCAGCAGAUGCUUUGUUUUGUACACCUUUAUGUUGAAGAUAUCUUCUAUGGUGUAAAUUUGUACCAUUGUAUUUCAAUUUUUUAUUUAAUUUAAAAAAGGUUAGAUAAAAAGAUCUCUAAUAAUUCAUUAGAAACUUGUUUCUCAACUAGAUGUGAAAAUGUGUGAGAGAUGUUGUUCAUUUACACUAUCAAGAUGUUUAUCAAUCAGAAUAUAAGGUAGUCUUGUUUAGACUUGAUUGCCAUAUAUACACAUGUAUGUUAUAUACUAUCCAUAUGUAUGUAAAACUGUGACCUUGACACACCUCCCUUACCUACCCACCCCCACACAUCUCUCCCCAUGAUCUGCAAUUUGUUUUGUUUUUUGAUGACACCUGUAUAUAUUGGUGUACAUUCUGUGUAUGAUUCUGAAUUUUCUCUGAUAUGAUAGCGCUGUACGUAGAGAACACUUGUUGAUGUAUGUUUGUCACCAUUGCUCAAUAUAUUCAGAAGCAUUAUUAUCUCACCAUAUUGAAUGCUGUACAAUAAUUGCCAUUUGUUCUCUUUUUACAAACUUGUUGUAAGAAUAUCUUCAAAUACUAUCAUUAUUUU
rnacentral:sRNA from 1 species